rnacentral:rRNA from 1 species
GCCGCGUGUGUGAAGAGGCCUUCGGGUUGUAAAGCACUUUUGUCCGGAAAGAAAACUUCGGGGUUAAUACCUCUGGAGGAUGACGGUACCGGAAGAAUAAGCACCGGCUAACUACGUGCCAGCAGCCGCGGUAAUACGUAGGGUGCGAGCGUUAAUCGGAAUUACUGGGCGUAAAGCGUGCGCAGGCGGUCUGUUAAGACAGAUGUGAAAUCCCCGGGCUUAACCUGGGAACUGCAUUUGUGACUGGCAGGCUAGAGUAUGGCAGAGGGGGGUAGAAUUCCACGUGUAGCAGUGAAAUGCGUAGAGAUGUGGAGGAAUACCGAUGGCGAAGGCAGCCCCCUGGGCCAAUACUGACGCUCAUGCACGAAAGCGUGGGGAGCAAACA